GAUGAACGCUGGCGGCGUGCCUAAUACAUGCAAGUCGAGCGAACGGACGAGAAGCUUGCUUCUCUGAUGUUAGCGGCGGACGGGUGAGUAACACGUGGAUAACCUACCUAUAAGACUGGGAUAACUUCGGGAAACCGGAGCUAAUACCGGAUGAUAUUUUGAACCGCAUGGUUCAAAAGUGAAAGACGGUCUUGCUGUCACUUAUAGAUGGAUCCGCGCUGCAUUAGCUAGUUGGUAAGGUAACGGCUUACCAAGGCAACGAUGCAUAGCCGACCUGAGAGGGUGAUCGGCCACACGGGAACUGAGACACGGUCCAGACUCCUACGGGAGGCAGCAGUAGGGAAUCUUCCGCAAUGGGCGAAAGCCUGACGGAGCAACGCCGCGUGAGUGAUGAAGGUCUUCGGAUCGUAAAACUCUGUUAUUAGGGAAGAACAUAUGUGUAAGUAACUGUGCACAUCUUGACGGUACCUAAUCAGAAAGCCACGGCUAACUACGCG
rnacentral:rRNA from 1 species